AUUGAACGCUGGCGGCAUGCUUUACACAUGCAAGUCGAACGGUAACAGGUUAAGCUGACGAGUGGCGAACGGGUGAGUAAUGCAUCGGAACGUGCCCGAUCGUGGGGGAUAACGCAGCGAAAGCUGCGCUAAUACCGCAUACGAUCUGAGGAUGAAAGCGGGGGACCGUAAGGCCUCGCGCGAUCGGAGCGGCCGAUGACAGAUUAGGUAGUUGGUGGGGUAAAGGCCCACCAAGCCGACGAUCUGUAGCUGGUCUGAGAGGACAACCAGCCACACUGGGACUGAGACACGGCCCAGACUCCUACGGGAGGCAGCAGUGGGGAAUUUUGGACAAUGGGCGAAAGCCUGAUCCAGCAAUGCCGCGUGCAGGAAGAAGGCCUUCGGGUUGUAAACUGCUUUUGUACGGAGCGAAAAGGUCCUUUCUAAUACAAGGGGCUCAUGACGGUACCGUAAGAAUAAGCACCGGCUAACUACAUGCCAGCCGCCGCAGUAA
rnacentral:rRNA from 1 species